rnacentral:rRNA from 1 species
CCUACGGGUGGCAGCAGUGGGGAAUAUUGCGCAAUGGGCGAAAGCCUGACGCAGCGACGCCGCGUGAGGGAUGAAGGUCUUCGGAUCGUAAACCUCUGUCAGCAGGGAAGAACGGUCACUGUGCUAAUCAGCAGUGAAUUGACGGUACCUGCAAAGGAAGCACCGGCUAACUCCGUGCCAGCAGCCGCGUUAAUACGGGGGGUGCGAGCGUUAAUCGGAGUUACUGGGCGUAAAGCGCUCGUAGGCGGUAUGUCAAGUCAAGGGGGACAUCCCCGCGCUCAACGUGGGAACUGCCUUUGAAACUGGCAAACUGGAGUGUGUGAGAGGAUAGUGGAAUUCCAGGUGUAGGAGUGAAAUCCGUAGAUAUCUGGAGGAACAUCAGUGGCGAAGGCGACUAUCUGGAAAAUAACUGACGCUGAGGAGCGAAAGCGUGGGUAGCAAACAGGAUUAGAUACCCCAGUAGUC